GGGGGUACAGCUCAGUGGUGGAGCCUGUGCUUAGCAUGCAUGAGGUCCCAGGUUCAAUCCUCAGUACCUCCA
rnacentral:tRNA from 1 species